rnacentral:RNase_P_RNA from 1 species
GUAGUUGGGUAACUGAGCCAAUUGGUUAGGAAAGUCCAUGCUAGCACAAUCUGAGAUGAUUGUAGUGUUUGUGCUUAGCCAAAAAAUAAGCUAAGGCAUAGAGAUAUGACGGCGGAAGAAGCCUAAGUCCUUAUGGAUAUGGUGUAUUUCCAUAACGUGCCACAGAGACGAGUUCUAUAGAAAUAUAGAAAUGAAACGUUGGUAAACCCCUCAAGCUAGAAACCCAAAUUUUGGUAGGGGAGCUCUAGGAGGCAAAAUGAAGCUAUUCUAGGGGCAAAGAAAUUUGCAGAUAAAUAGUUACCACCUAAUUCUAUUAGGUACAGAACAUGGCUUAUAGAC